GAUGAACGCUGGCGGCGUGCCUAACACAUGCAAGUCGAGCGAACGGACGAGGAGCUUGCUUCUCUGAUGUUAGCGGAGGACGGGUGAGUAACACGUGGAUAACCUACCUAUAAGACUGGGAUAACUUCGGGAAACCGGAGAUAAUACCGGAUAAUAUUUUGAACCGCAUGGUUCAAAAGUGAAAGACGGUCUUGCUGUCACUUAUAGAUGGAUCUGCGCUGCAUUAGCUAGUUGGUAAGGUAACGGCUUACGAAGGCAACGAUGCGUAGCCGACCGAAGAGGGUGAUCGGCCACACUGGAACUUGGACGCGGUCCAGACUCCUACGGUAGGCAGCAGUAUGGAAUCUUCGGCAGUGGGCGAGAGCCUGACGGAGCAGCGCCGCGUGAGUGAUGGAGGUCUUCGGAUCGUGAUACUCUGUUAUUAGGGAAGAACAUAUGUGUAAUGAACUGUGCACAGCUUGACGGUACCUGGUCAAGAAGCCACGGCUAACUACGUG
rnacentral:rRNA from 1 species